rnacentral:rRNA from 1 species
GCUUAGAGAGGGGUCAAUGUCCUAUCAGCUAGUUGGUAGGGUAAUGGCCUACCAAGGCUAAGACGGGUAGCCGGCCUGAGAGGGUGGUCGGCCACACUGGGACUGAGACACUGCCCAGACUCCUACGGGAGGCUGCAGUCGAGAAUCUUUCGCAAUGCCCGAAAGGGUGACGAAGCGACGCCGCGUGUGGGAAGAAGGCCUUCGGGUUGUAAACCACUGUCGGGAGUUAAGAAAUGCAAGGGUGUUAAUAGCAUCCUUGCUUGACUAAGGCUCCGGAGGAAGCCACGGCUAACUCUGUGCCAGCAGCCGCGGUAAUACAGAGGCGGCAAGCGUUGUUCGGAAUUAUUGGGCGUAAAGAGCACGUAGGCGGCUUUGUAAGUCAGUUGUGAAAGCCUCCUGCUCAACGGAAGAACAGCAUCUGAUACUGCAAGGCUAGAGUGCGGAAGGG